AUUGAACGCUGGCGGCAGGCUUAACACAUGCAAGUCGAGCGGGGGAUGUUACUUCGGUAACUGACCUAGCGGCGGACGGGUGAGUAAUGCUUAGGAAUCUGCCUAUUAGUGGGGGACAACAUUCCGAAAGGAAUGCUAAUACCGCAUACGCCCUACGGGGGAAAGCAGGGGAUCUUCGGACCUUGCGCUAAUAGAUGAGCCUAAGUCGGAUUAGCUAGUUGGUGGGGUAAAGGCCUACCAAGGCGACGAUCUGUAGCGGGUCUGAGAGGAUGAUCCGCCACACUGGGACUGAGACACGGCCCAGACUCCUACGGGAGGCAGCAGUGGGGAAUAUUGGACAAUGGGCGGAAGCCUGAUCCAGCCAUGCCGCGUGUGUGAAGAAGGCCUUUUGGUUGUAAAGCACUUUAAGCGAGGAGGAGGCUCCUUUAGUUAAUACCUAAAGAGAGUGGACGUUACUCGCAGAAUAAGCACCGGCUAACUCUGUGCCAGCCGCCGCCGUAAUAC
rnacentral:rRNA from 1 species